rnacentral:rRNA from 1 species
AUGCAGUCGAACGGUAGCACAGUAGAGCUUGCUCUCGGGUGACGAGUGGCGGACGGGUGAGUAAUGUCUGGGAAACUGCCUGAUGGAGGGGGAUAACUACUGGAAACGGUAGCUAAUACCGCAUAACGUCGCAAGACCAAAGAGGGGGACCUUCGGGCCUCUUGCCAUCAGAUGUGCCCAGAUGGGAUUAGCUAGUAGGUGGGGUAACGGCUCACCUAGGCGACGAUCCCUAGCUGGUCUGAGAGGAUGACCAGCCACACUGGAACUGAGACACGGUCCAGACUCCUACGGGAGGCAGCAGUGGGGAAUAUUGCACAAUGGGCGCAAGCCUGAUGCAGCCAUGCCGCGUGUAUGAAGAAGGCCUUCGGGUUGUAAAGUACUUUCAGCGGGGAGGAAGGUGUUGUGGUUAAUAACCACAGCAAUUGACGUUACCCGCAGAAGAAGCACCGGCUAACUCCGUGCCAGCAGCCGCGU